AGUUGAGACGCGUAGACCGGGCGGAAUGCGAGGCCGUUGGGGCGCAGAAUUUACACGACGGAUGGUGGGAGGGGGGGGAAAAAAACGGAUGCGCAUGCGUGAUUGGUCCGCGGACGGCUGGGAGCGGGGAGACGCAGGGAAAGGAUGCUAGGCCCCGGUCACUCUCAGCGGAGAAGACAGAACUGCGACGAAUGGAAGGGAUUAGCUAGUCGAGGGCGGAGUUACAUAGACCCUGGAAGAAUUUCACGUCUGGUGUCCCUUCGUGAGAGUGAAUCUUGAUACUUGGAUGGCUGAGCUCAGAUUCUGUAUGGACUGGCCAAUGAGCUUGAGUCGGUCUUCCUAUCUCUGCAUCCCGGUGCUGAAGUUACAGACACAGUGAUCCACCCAGCCCGGACAUGAAUACAGGAGGCCCAGACUUAGGUCCUCAUGCUUGUAUAGCAAGCUUUUCAUCCACUGAGCCAUUUCCCCAACUCUAGAAAUAACAUUUUCUUAUUUAUUUGUUUUUCUUUUAUGUGUAUGCAUAUCUAUGUAUAUGCAUAUGUACCAAAUGGGUUCCUGGUGCCGAAGAGAAGAUCAGAACAUGAUGUUGGAUCUCUUUGAACUGGAAUUACUGGUGGUUGAGCACUCCCAGAUGUAGGUGUUGGGGAUCGAAUCCAGGUCCUCUGAAAGAACAGCAAGUGCUGAGCCAUCUCUCCAGUGGCUGUCAGUAACAGUUCGAAGUACCAGAGACACGCAUGGGAUAUUGUAGAGGCAGAGGAAUAGCCUGACUGCCCUGGCGGGAGCAGGUUAAAAGAUAUAUGGGGAGAGAGAGAAGGGGGGAAAAAGAAAGAAGCUCUUGGCGUCCGCAGUAGUUCCAGUGCUGGAGAGGCAAGAGACGGGUGGAUCCCCUAGGACUCACUGGCCUGCCACCAUACUCUCAUAGGUAGGUCAAGGCCCAUGAGAGAACGCAUCUCAAAACCACACAAAACCAAGGUGGGCGUGAUCAGAGAAAUGACAGCCAUGGUUGCCCUCUGGCUCUCUGGCCUCCAUAUGUACCCUCCCCCCACAGAGAGAGAGAGAGAGAGAGAGAGAGAGAGAGAGAGAGAGAGAAAUUUUAGUCCAUUUUGAGACAUAUUGGAACUGAAAUGCGACCGGUGUCAAGACCUGAAGGAUGCUAGGCACACUUAUCUGGAAGCUGCAACUCCAGUUGCUGCCAAGGGUUGAAGUAUCCUGAUCCUAUCCCUACCUACACAAGAGCUGCAUGAGAGUUUUACACUAGAGGGCGCCAUUGCUGCAAAAUAUAGUUCAGGUACUGGAGAGACAGGAGUAGUUUGCAGGCCUGUGCCUGGCUGAUGUAGGUAAAUCAAAGAAUCACUUAUCCAAUAGGGGCAAUGAAGAUGUAAAGUGAGCAGGACACAGUUAAGAGUUAGCAUAUGGGGGGCUCAGAGGUUAAGAGCACUGUCUGCUCUCCCAGAGGUCCUGAGUUCAAUUCCCAGCAACCACAUGGUGGCUCACACUCAUCUGUAAUAGAAUCCAAUGCCCUCUUCUGGCCUGUAGACAUACAAGCAGGCAGAACACUGUAUACAUAAUUGAAUAAAUCUUUUAAAAAUU
rnacentral:lncRNA from 1 species